AGCUAGUAUUGGGAGGAGGCUCACAUUUGUGCCUGAGGUUGCCUCCAGGGGCUAACAGUCAGGCUUGGCCUGUUUUCUUGCCGCUUUUAGUUUCAAAGCUCCCUUUGAAAGAAAUUUUCUUUAAACUUAAAAAAAUACAUGCUUGUGUGUAAAAAGAAAACAUGGGAAGUACAAAAACAAAGUAUAAACAUACAGAAAAACAUUGCACAUAGUCCUUACGUUAUCUCUACACUGCAUCUCGCUGUUUUCACUUAAAACAGCCUUUCCCAUCAUUACAAGUACUUCAUAGACACUUUAAUGACUUUAAACUACUCUGUUACAUAGAUAGAGCGUAACCAACUGGACCUUGUAUUCCCUUAAUGUCGGGCAUUUGGGAUUCCAAAUUUUCACUAAAUGCUGCAUAAAACACCCCUUUGGGUAAAAAUUUUUAUCUGCGUGUCAAGUUACUUGCUUAGGAUAGAUUCCUAGCAGUAGAAUAAUUAGGCCAAAAGAUAGGAAUGAUUGUAAGACUUUGAUUCAUAUUGUCAGAUUGCUUUCUAGAGAAACAGGGUCAGUUUGCAUCUGCUUGUAGUUCUGCCCUGCUCUGAAGUAGCCCUUCCAGUUGCACCUCUCUGAGCCUGGAUGGAACUGCACGAGUGCAGUUCUGGGCUGUGAUCAUGGGCCACAGGCUCAGUGCCAUCUGAGUGCAAUGCUACACUUGGCCUAGGGUGGAGAUGGUUAGAGCUCCUCAUGGUUGGGACUGCCACUGUGGAAUACAGCGGACACUCUCCAUUGUUGACCCCCAGGACCAAGUGAGCUCCUUGGGAGAGCUGGGCCUAACACAUUGCUUCUGCUGUUGGAACUGAGUCCUACUUAGGUACACCUUCAACAUCCACAAGAGUAGGGAGGGGCUUAGUGAGGAUCUGCUGGUGAAUGAACAGGAAACCUUUAUGGACACUUAGUCCAAGGUGAGGGGAAGUAUUAUGAGUCAAGUUCACGGAAGACAUGGCUGACUUAGAGGUGGGGGUCCAGUAUAAGGCAGGCCUAGAGGACACAGCUGAGGCAGGGGGAGGAUCUGACAAAGCCAUAGGAGGCAGAGCUCCGUGAGUGCUCCCACAGUCCCUGGAUCCUGAGGCGCUGACUAGGCAGGCUUCACAGGGGAUGUGAUCUUGCAGCUGACACCAUGAGGUGAGUGCUUGGGUUGGGGCGUUUUCCGUUGAAGGGUACCACUUGUCUGUGAGCACCUUCAGGACAGGUACAUGGUCAAUUUGCUGUGUGUCCCCAGAGCCUAGCAAGUACCUGCUGAAUGUGUUGCAGGAAGGGAUGAGCAGUGAGUUCAGAGCAGAGACACAGAGGGGUGCAGAGCAGGGAGUCUUCCCCCAGAGGGCUGUGCCUGAUGUCCCCCUCUACCU